rnacentral:rRNA from 1 species
GAUGAACGCUGGCGGCGUGCCUAAUACAUGCAAGUCGAACGAAACUUCUUUAUCACCGAGUGCUUGCACUCACCGAUAAAGAGUUGAGUGGCGAACGGGUGAGUAACACGUGGGCAACCUGCCCAAAAGAGGGGGAUAACACUUGGAAACAGGUGCUAAUACCGCAUAACCAUCGUUACCACAUGGUAACUCUGUAAAAGGUGGCUAUACUACCGCUUUUGGAUGUGCCCGCGGCGCAUUAGCUAGAUGGUAGGGUAAAGGCUUACCAAGGCAAUGAUGCGUAGCCGAAUUGAGAGGUUGAUCGGCCACAUUGGGACUGAGACACGGCCCAAACUCCUACGGGAGGCAGCAGUAGGGAAUCUUCCACAAUGGGCGAAAGCCUGAUGGAGCAACGCCGCGUGGGUGAAGAAGGUCUUCGGAUCGUAAAACCCUGUUGUUAGAGAAGAAAGUGCGUGAGAGUAACUGUUCACGUUUCGACGGUACCUAACCAGAAAGCCACGGCUAACUACGUG